rnacentral:rRNA from 1 species
AGAGUUUGAUUCUGGCUCAGGAUGAACGCUGGCGGCGUGCCUAAUACAUGCAAGUCGAACGAGGUGGAUGGGAGCUUGCUCCUUGAUACCGAGUGGCGAACGGGUGAGUAACACGUAGGUAACCUGGCCCUUAAGCUUGGGAUACCCAGAGGAAACUUUGGCUAAUACCGGAUAACAACAGAGGAGGCAGUCUCCUUUGCUUGAAGGGCCCUUUACAGGGUCACUUAAGGAUGGACCUGCGGCGCAUUAGCUAGUUGGUGAGAUAAAAGCCCACCAAGGCGAGGAUGCGUAGCCGACCUGAGAGGGUGAUCGGCCACAUUGGAACUGAGACUACGGUCCAAACUCCUACGGGAGGCAGCAGUAAGGAGUUUUCGGCAAUGGGGGAAACCCUGACCGAGCAACGCCGCGUUGAGUGAUGACGGCCCUAUGGGUUGUAAAGCUCUGUUGUAAGGGACGAACGAUCGUUUAGGAAAUGAAACGGUUCUGACGGUACCUUACCAGAAAGCCACGGCUAACUACGUGCCAGCCGCCGC